rnacentral:rRNA from 1 species
UACGGAGGGGGCUAGCGUUGUUCGGAAUUACUGGGCGUAAAGCGCACGUAGGCGGCUUUGUAAGUUAGAGGUGAAAGCCCGGGGCUCAACUCCGGAAUUGCCCUUAAGACUGCAUCGCUAGAAUUGUGGAGAGGUAAGUGGAAUUCCGAGUGUAGAGGUGAAAUUCGUAGAUAUUCGGAAGAACACCAGUGGCGAAGGCGACUUACUGGACACAUAUUGACGCUGAGGUGCGAAAGCGUGGGGAGCAAACAGGG